rnacentral:rRNA from 1 species
AGGGUUUGAUCAUGGCUCAGAUUGAACGCUGGUGGUAUGCUUAACACAUGCAAGUCGAACGGUAACAUUGGAGCUUGCUCCAGAUGACGAGUGGCGGACGGGUGAGUAACGCGUAGGAAUCUGCCUAGUAGUGGGGGACAACAUGUGGAAACGCAUGCUAAUACCGCAUACGCCCUACGGGGGAAAGCGGGGGAUCUUCGGACCUCGCGCUAUUAGAUGAGCCUGCGUUAGAUUAGCUUGUUGGUGGGGUAAUGGCCUACCAAGGCGACGAUCUAUAGCUGGUCUGAGAGGACGAUCAGCCACACUGGGACUGAGACACGGCCCAGACUCCUACGGGAGGCAGCAGUGGGGAAUAUUGGACAAUGGGCGCAAGCCUGAUCCAGCAAUACCACGUGUGUGAAGAAGGCCUGAGGGUUGUAAAGCACUUUCAAUUGGGAGGAAAACAGCUGGGUUAAUAGCCCUGCUCUUGACAUUACCUUUAGAAGAAGCACCGGCUAACUCCGUGCCAGCAGCCGCGGUAAUACGGAGGGUGCGAGCGUUAAUCGGAAUUACUGGGCGUAAAGCGUACGUAGGCGGUUAUUUAAGUCAGAUGUGAAAGCCCCGGGCUCAACCUGGGAACUGCAUUUGAAACUGGAUAACUAGAGUUUGAUAGAGGAGAGUAGAAUUUCUGGUGUAGCGGUGAAAUGCGUAGAGAUCAGAAGGAAUACCAGUGGCGAAGGCGG